rnacentral:lncRNA from 1 species
CCACAACUGAUUUCUCCACCUUAAAUACCCCUCAAAGGGGACAAGAAGGGGGCAAAAGAAGUUUAAUGCCCAUCCCCUAAGAGGUGUAGAAACGUCCUUCUGCCAAGGGACAGAGGAGGUAGAACUGCCCCUCUCAGAACUGCAGCAGCUCUACAAGGAAUCGAGGAGAGGAAAGGGAUAGAAUGAGAGGGAAAAGGAUGUUCUUUAGCAAACUCACUCCUUUGAUCCAUUCAUCCUGUCCCAGGAACUAUUACAUGCCCUGAGAUACAGAAGCACGCAAGACCAACAAGAUCCAUGAGCUUACAUUUGAAGGCAAAGAAAGCUGGAAAAUCUUAUGAAAUCAAUACCAGGAGGAAGGAGAAGACCUGUGAUCUGUUUCUUUCCCUUUAUGAGGAGAUGGUGUACAUGCCCAAGAAGGAGAGAAGAUAGGAGGCCAGGCACAGUAUCCUUGUGAACAUAUCUCUCCCCUGUGAGAAACCAGCCACCAUGUUGUAAGCAGCCCUGUGGCGAGACCCACAUGAGGAAGACCAGGGCUUGCCAACAUCCUCUGAAUGCACGUGGAAACAGAUCUCUGUCCCUCCCCUCAAGGCCCAGCUGUGCAUCCAAAUGAGAUCACAGCCUUUGUUGACAGCUUGACAGUCUCCUCAUGAGCCAGAGAAAUCAGCUAGGUGACUCUCAGAUUUCAGACGCACAGAAACUGUGAGAUAAUAAAUGCUUAUUGCUUUAAAUGCUAAAUUUUUGGGGUUAUUGAUUAUGCAGCAAUAGAUAAGAUAGAUGAAGUGUGCAAUGGGAAUGAUAAAUUCUACAGUGGGCCCUAGGUCACUGUAAACAGGAGCCACAGUGAUAUAAUCCCAAGUCUCCAGUGUGGCAUGAGGCUGAGAGCAUACUAGGGUUUAUCUAACUUCUUGGUUUUGAGUUUCUUUCCAUUUCCCUAGGCUGAGGCUAAAUUGGGAUUUGCUAUGGUGAGAAUGUGUCUUCUAAAUUUCAUGUAUUGGAAACUUUCCCCAAAUUUAUAUAUUAAUGAUAUUUGGAGGUAGGACUUUUGAGAGAUAACUAGGAUUAGAUAAGGUCAUAAAAGUGGGGUCUCCAUGAUGAGACUCAAGGCUUUAUAAAAAGAGGAGGAAGGAACUGAGUUGACGUGCUCUUGCCCUCUCGCCAUGUGGUACCUUCUGCCAUGUUAUGACACAUUAAGAAGGCCUUCAUCAGAUGCGGCUCCUUGAUUUUGGACUUCCUAGCCUCCAGACUGUAAGAAAUAAACUUGUUUUCUUUAUAAAUUACCCAGUCUAUUGUAUUCUGUCAUAG